UACAGAGGGUGCAAGCGUUAAUCGGAAUUACUGGGCGUAAAGCGUGCGUAGACGGUUGCGUAAGUCAGAUGUGAAAGCCCCGGGCUCAACCUGGGAAUUGCAUUUGGAGACUGCGUAGCUAGGGUGCGGAAGAGGGAAGCGGAAUUUCCGGUGUAGCGGUGAAAUGCGUAGAUAUCGGAAGGAACACCAGUGGCGAAAGCGGCUUCCUGGUCCAGCACCGACGUUCAGGCACGAAAGCGUGGGGAGCAAACAGG
rnacentral:rRNA from 1 species